GAGAGCGCUCCUUGCCUGAAUAUAUGUUUUUAAUUAUCAAAGCUGUCAUAAUUAUUCUUUUAAUCUUUUUUAUUCCCAUUAAAAACAUCACUAAUUAUAUGCCUAUAGAGUCCCAAAUUGAAGUGAUGUUCUCAAAGAUUAGGGAAGAAUUUGUGGAAUAAGGAUAUCUUGUCUAAUACGAAACUGCAACUACAUUGGGAAUUUACUUAUUUUCCCAUGGACUCGGAGUGGACCUGAACACUGAAAAAUUGGAUUCAAAUACAGCUUUGAAUAUUGGAUCUAAUGGAUAUUUACUCUUUUUUAUUAUUAUAUUUUGUAUUUACUAUUUAGAAUGAGUAAUUAUUUAUGGAAUAUGAAAAGGAUCUAUAACAAAGAUGCAAAAUAAUUAAUGAAAAUUAUGAAUAUAGGUUUUAUUGAUAUGAACCUGUACAUAAAUGUGUAGCGGCCUCAUUCAUUAGUACAUAUUUAAGUGGUGCGAACAAAUUUCCAUAUAACAAAGGUUUUAUAAUAUGUCAUGAAUGGAUAACAUUGUCGCCGUUGAUUGAUUGAUUAUAUUUUUGUUUUCAUUCAUGCAAUUAAGACUAAAUUAAGGUGCUGGGCGUAGUAAUCAAACUUUUUAAUUACCAAAAUUAAGAAACAAAAAAUUUUAUCAAGAGGUAAAAGUGUUUCUAUUAUCUAAUUAAUUAGGACAGAGUGUUGUUUUUCUGUUUAGACCAUGAGUGAGACAAGUGACAUGGAACAUCAUUGGAAUAUGUUGCUUAAUGUUUUUGACUGCUUUACACAAUGCGCUACACAAUCGAUAGUGAACCCCUUUAGUCUCUCGUCACAGAAAUCGGAGCCAAAAACGUUGUUAAGACUUCUAUGCUUGUAAUUUUUCUAUUGUCAUCCUUCUUAACAUCUUCCAAAUUUAUUUAAUAAGGAGAACCUACCAACAGUUAUGGAUCGUCUAAAACAAAAAGAUUAUCAUUUCUUACAAGUUCUUUCUUAAUCCUUGACAACGCUACUUUACUUUGGGACUCCGUUGACCUUGUGAUGGCGUAGCAAGAAAGAAUGGCUUUGCAGGCUUGAAGUUACAUUAAUUUUACAAAAUUUGGAUGUCUAUCAAUAUGGUGUGGAAUAUUGCAGGAGAACUGCAUCUUGUUCAUAUCCGUUAUAAGAUGAAUAUUAUAUAUAAUAAAAUUAACUGUUCAGAAAAUGAA
rnacentral:lncRNA from 1 species